CUAUCUAAACUCGCCUGCGUUUUUUCGAAAACGAUUAUGGCGGAAAUUGAGCGUCACAUUCUCGAGUGUGUUGCUUGAAGGGUAGAAACGGUAGUUCCCGUUUUUCUUUCGAGAAAAGCUCAUUGUUUUUCCCUUCUCACGAAGGGCUGAAACAAACUGAGUGACAUGGUUAAGUUCGCCUUGUGCGACACCACUAUGUCAACCCAUCUCAGAUUGGUUCAGUAACAAUUGAGUGUGGAACAACUCUGCCGUUCUUUGGAUUAUCCAAUUAACAAA
rnacentral:misc_RNA from 1 species